UUUUUGGUGUACUGUGUCCUAGCUUCUUGUUUUAUUUUGAUAUGCCCAAAUAGGCUGUUUGGGUGAGCUAGUUUGAUUAUUGGCACCUUUGAAGCUCUUAAAUCCUGUCACCAGGUGAUCAGAGCUGUUACUAGGUAUGUGAGCCUAGGAGCCCUUUUACUUUUCUUGUAUGGAUUCAGCUCAGGUGUCCAGGUCACCAAGUGUGUGGUGUAGGCUCUCACCUACAGUCCUACAUAGACAGGGUUGAUUGGAGUAGGUACAGGUGUCUGGCUACUGUGGGGGGAAUGACUGCCCUUGAGUGUCUGGGAGGAAAGCAUGUCCCUGUUCCCUAGAGCACAUAGGUGGGUAGGUUUUGCAGCCAGACUGUGGGCACCCAAUGCUGUUGGUUGUAAGUACUGGGAUUCACCACUUAUUCUUGGACUCCUGAAUUGGGUGGCUAGGUGGCAUGGGUGGAGCCACGAACCCUCAAGUCACUGAUGUGGAUAGGUGAGGAUCCUUCUUCAUUGGCAGAACGUUGUCAAAUAUCAGAAAUCUGCCCCUCCACUUUAUAGCUGAUACAGUUAAAAAUAGGCUUCAGGUAUAUACCCUGUUGUAGUGUGCUAAUGAGGGCCUACGCUGUUGAAAUGGGCCCACACAGGUCUAUGCAAGGGUGAAAGGCAUUCAGAGUCCUUGGACCCCUUAUGUCUGUGCCUUCCCUGAGUUCCUGGCUUAGGGAAGCUGGCAGAUUAUUUUUUGUUCUUUGUUCCUGCUCCAGGGCAUGUGAUAGUUCCUACUUCUGGCCCAGGGGACCCAGAAAUAGCCGAAGCCGGUCCAAGACUAAAAACAGAGAGGGACAAGCAGAUACAGACCAGAAGAGGAGUUUGGGGCUUGACACCUGACAUCUUAACACCAGUUCCUGUUUCUUGAGGAAGGAAGAGGUAAAAUAAAUCAGCGUUUUCUGUGUCCUUCUCCAUCCCCGGAAGUCCUCAUGAAGACCCUCUCAGCUUCAACUUGAACGUGAAUAUGAGCAGCUGAUCAUCUGUUCUGCAGUCAGCCCCUGGCCAGAUUCUGACUCAUGAUAUUGACCUUCUCCAUCAUCACCUUCCACAAAUUUGAUUCCUGUCUAUUCUGCCUGGAAUGGUGCACGAGUAUAGUCACCGUUUAUGCUCCUGAUGAAAGGCGGGACGCCCCUCCUGUGCUGUCCUCAGAAGGGCUCUUCAGGGACCACACCCCUAGUUUGCGGAGCAGCAGAGCCUGCCCCAGUCUGGACUAGGGACUUUAUUUCUUCCACUCUCACCACUGGCUGAAGGCAGACUCCUGUCUCCACAGACUAAAGAGGAAUUAUCAAAAUGAGCUCGAAACUCUAGAUUUGAGUUAAGGAUCAUAAAUUAACACAGAGAAAUACAACUUUAACAACAAAGACCUGUUUGGAGCCCCAGUUGGAAUUAAAAAAAAAAAAACUUGAACAGAGGGAGUGAUAAAGGCUUCCUUCUUUUGCCAUCCUCUCUCGGUGGUCCCAAGCUUUCUCAUCUCCCACCUCACAAGACUGUAUCAACUGCUUUGAGACUUUUAGAAUAAAGAUCCCCAGGCAUAUCACUGCUGUUACCCUGUGAGGAUUUCCCCAGUGCUGGGUUAGACUAAGACAGAAUCCUCCAGAGGCUUCCGGGGUCUGUGUACUGGAUGGUCAACACACAGAGCCUCAGAGCCCACUUCAUUUUUCCUGCAGUUGGGCAUGACCCCAGGGACAUGACCCUGAGAGUGCUGACACUUCCUGAAGCCAGUGACCCUCCCCCUGGGCUUCUCUCUGCCUGGGUCUCAGAAUCUCUGAGGCCAACUUGUACCCUCGGAAGUGUUUCUGCUGAAGGACACGUAAACAGCACUGUGGGUUUGUGUCCUGCAGUCUGCAAAACUGCCUCCCCUGAGUGGGGUGAGGAGCUACUGGAAUACUGAAACAUUGAAAUCAUUAAAACUAGCAGAAGCCACAGCCCAUGGUGCUGGGAGAAAACUGGGAAGGACGGAGAGGUGAAGAGGCUAUAAAGGCCCAGGUGUGAAGGCGACCAUGGGCCAGGAUGUCCUGAAGUCGCAAAGCUGACCAAUGCUGAGUGCCCUAAAAGCUGCCACUCCUGUGCCCAUCUUUUCUUUCAAUGGACAAAGUCUUUCCCUGCUCUUAUGUGCCUGGGCUGGAAGGGCCUUUGACUUAGAACAUGAAGCAGCCUCCAGAGCCUCUUGGGGCAAGUGAUGGUCAAGGAGGCUCUGCCUAACCCCACCCUGCUCUUCCCACUUGUCAGAGGACCAGGAAUUUCAGUCUUCCAACUCCUGGGCUGAUCUAGUGACUCAUAACAGGAUUUCACUGGAACUGGAAGGUGUUGAAGACAGGAAGUACUCCUGGGUUUCUUCACCCAGCUGAAUGCCUAGUUCCUGGUCUUAUUACACGGCUUACAUUCAGGAUAAGAAGAGGCGUUUGGAGCUUUACGCAUGACCUCUUAGCAGCGGUUUCUGUUCAGGAGUGAAGAGGUAAAAAGAAAGCAGUGUCUACUAAGUCCUUUUCCAAGAGUCUCAGGAAAUUCUCACGAAGACCCUCUCAGAUGCAGGACGAUGAGGAGGGAAUGUUUGUUGUGUCAUAAUCUGUGGAAGGAUGCAAAGUGCACAUGGGGUUCGUUACUCCUGAUGCUCACACUAUUGCAGCCCACCUACUGGGAAAUUACCGUAAGUGUUGCUGAGUCCCUCACACAUCCACACUGAACAGCUUUCGGAUUCUCAUAAGCAGGAGUUAUUUGUGUCCUAAGAUGAGCCACUCCUUGGAAGCCCUACCCUGUCCUAUAGGGUCGCUGUGAGUCGGAAUCAACUGCAUGGCAAGAGUGUUUUUUUUGGAGAGGGGUUGAUAUUAGCUGCAGAAUAAUGUUUAAAAAAAUGCUGACAGAGUAGCAGGUGAAACCAACACAAUGAAACUGAAAUGAAAUCUCUUUUUCACACUUAUCGACCCCACAGUGCCUUCGAAGUGUGUACUUUUCACUGGGUUUAGAGGAAAGAGAGAACUCUUCACGAGAGAGACACAGCUUGGGACACCUCCAAAAUCACACGCCUCCUCCCUGAUGUUAGGUAACAUUCCAUGCUGUUUGGCUGGUUUAUCAUCUGACUGCUCCACACAAAUAGAAGGCCCGUGCAGGCAGGAGCUUCUCUGCUGUGUUGCAAGAGUAUCCUGGUUCCUAGCACCUAAGAAGCACUCAAAACUGAUUUGAGUGAAUGAAUGAGUGGGUGGGUUUUUAUAAAAACCAUGGUACUGCUCUCUUUAUGUAGUUACAAUAGUGAAAACAGGGAUAAGGGAAUGGAGACUAGUACUUGUAUAACUUAAAGUUAUAUAAAAUGAGAACAGAACUUCUAUAAUGAAGAGAGAGACAAAAAUAAAGUGUACUAACUGAAUGUACCCCCUUCACUUUGGUUGGAAAGAGACAUGGUAAAGUUGGGUUGUUUUUCCCCUACUGAUUUAUAAGUUCUAUAUAUUGAAUUGAAAAGUUAGUCUUUUAGGAGUCAGAAAUAUUUCUAUUGAGAGAUAAUUCACCCGCCAUAACAUUGCCCUUUGAAAUGUGCACAAUUCUGUGGUUGUUAGUAUAUGGACAGAGUUGUGCAACAAUCACCACUGUCUAGCUUCACGAUAUUUUCAGUGCCCUGUAAAUAAAUGCCCUACAUAUUAGUAGUCAUCCUCAUUAUUCCUUUCGUCCAAGACGUAGCAACCACUAAUCUACUUUCUGUCUGUGUUGGUUUGUCUGUUCUGGACAUCUCAUAUAAAUGGAGUCACGCACCAUGCGGUCAUUUCUGUUUGGCUUCUUUCACUUAGCAUAACGUUCUCAAAGUUUGUCCAUAUUGUUGCAUGUAUUUUAAUGACUAAUAUUCCAGUCUACGAAUAUACCACAGCUUGUCUAUCAGUUCAUGACAUUUGGAUUCUCUCCAUAUUUUGGGUAUUUAUGAAUAAUGCUGCUAUGAAAAUUCUUUUGUAAGUUGUUAUGUGAACAUGCUUCAGCUCUCCUGGGUACAUACCUAGGAGUGGAAUUGCUAUGCAUGGUAACUCUAUGUUUAACUUUCUGAGCAAGUACUUAACUGUUUUCCAAACUGAUUGGAUCGUGUCACAUGUCCACCAGCAAUGUAUGAGGGUUCCAGUUUCUCCACAUCCUCACCACAUAUGUUGUCCAUCCUAUUGAUUUGAGCCAUCUUAGUGGUUUUGAAAUAAUAGUGCGUUUUGGUUUUGAUUCGCAUUUCCCUAAUGACUAAUGAGGUUGAGCUUCUUUUCAUGUGAUUAUUGACCAUUUCUAUAUCUUCUUUGGAGAAAUGUCUAGUCAAAUCCUUAGCCUGCAAUUUUUUUUUUCAGCUUUUUGCCUGUAUUUUUGCUUUCUUCAUAUAGUUUUUGCUAUGCCAAAGAUCUGUAUCUAUAUCUUACCAGUUUUAGCCUUCACAGCUUUGGGAUUUUUAGAAAAUCUUUCUCUUUUACCAAUAAAAAGCAAAACAAAAUCUCUCAUAGUUUCUUCUGAAAUUUUUAUGGUGGCAUAUUUUACUUUUAAGUAUGUGAUCCUUUUGGAAUUUUUUUUCCUGCAAGCUAUGAGAAAAAGGAUGAAAAUAUUUUUACAGGUGAUCUAAAUGAUUACCAAAUUGCUGCAAACAUUCCUUUUUGCCUUUUUGCAUAAGCCAUAUCUUAACUGCAUUUUCCCAUAUUCCAUAUAGAAAAGCAUUUUUACAGAAGGAGGCCCGCCAUUCCCAGCCAUUUCAUUUUAAGAUUUUGCUUUGCUGCAAUAGAAAUCCCUUCUAUUCCUUUUCUACACACCUGUUGUCAUAGCCAAUAAAAAUUUUGUGUGAGUAGGACUCCUGUGAAUUUAUAAGAUGAGGUUGAAUUUUAUAACUGGUUCCAUGUGGUGCAGCCCAGCAGAAGGACAGACAGAAGCAGUAGCUCCAGAGGGAACAGAAGCUAUAAGCACAUGAGCCUCUAGAGAUUUGCUCUUGAAUUUCAGAGAAAGCUCUAGACUUUUCUAUAUAAACAUAUUAUAUAUGGCCAUCACCUUAGAACAGACAGAGAAUAAUGCUUUGAAUGUGAAGCAUUCAGGACAGAACUGGAGAAAAAUGUAGAACAAUCUUCUAACUCACAAAAAAAACACCAGACUUACUGACUUGACAGGGAUUGGAGAAACCCUGAGUGUAUGGACCCCAGAUAUCCUUUGAGGUCAAUAAUGAAGUCGCUCAUGAGGUUCACCCUUCAGCCAAAGAUUAGACAGGCCCAUAAAACGAAAUGAGGCUCCAGCAGCAUACUAGCCCAGGAACAAGGACUAGAAGGUAGAAGAGGACAGGAAAGCUGGUAAUAGGGAACCUAAGUUGAAGAAGAGAGAGUGUCGACAUGUCAUGGGGUUGGUAACCGUUGUUAUAAAACAAUAUAUGUACUAGCUGUUUAGUAAGAAGCUAGUUUGUUCUGUAAACCUUCAUCUAAAGAAAAAUUUAAAAAGUUAGGCUUUCAGAAUGAGAGUGUUCAUUCCUUAGAAGUAUGUGCUUUGUUGAACAUAUCUACCCAUUUCUAUUGGGUAUGUAUCUAGAAGUAGAAUUGCUGGGUCGUAGGAUACAUGUGUGUUCACAGCUUUAGUAGAUAUGGCCAAAGCAUUUUUAAAGUGGUUGUACCAAAUUACACUUUCACUAGCAGUAAAUUAGAGAUCCCUUUGCUCCAUGCUCUACCUAGUAGUUGGUAUUUUCCAUCUUUUUCAUUUUAGCCAUUCUGGUGUGUGGGGGAUAGUAUCACAUUGUGACAUUUUGUUAAGAGUUUCUCUGAUAACUAAUGAAUGUAUGUUGGCCAUACAGAAAUCUUUUCAAGUAUUUCCUCAUCUAUUGGACUUUUUUUUUGUUUUUGCUUUAUAAACGGUUCUUUAUAUAUUCUAGAACCAAGUCCAUAGUAGGACAUAGGUAUUGCAAAUAACUUCUGCUACCAUACGAAUUCACCCUUGUGGCUUGUCAAGAGCUUUCAGAUUCAGAAACCUGCCUUUUAUAAGAACAGGCAAAUGUAUAGUAACGAAAGUUUAUUAGGGGUUAACGGGGCAGGAGGGAGGAAAUAAAGCAGUGUUAUUGCAUACAGAGCACGGAGUUUCAGUUUAUGGUGGUGGAAAAAUCCCAUUGAUAAGGGUAAGUUUGCACAGCUGAUUAAUGUAAUUGCUGUCAAUAGCUUGUACACCUGUACAACUUGUUCACUUGGCAAAGGUUGUGUGCAAUAUUUACAGCAGCAACAAAAAUGAGCAGCUUCUGAGGCAACAUUAUAGUCUGCAAUUGAUGAGAUGUAUUCUUUUAUUAUACUUUUCUCAGUUUUCUGGUUUGUUAACAUGUGACUGUUAAAAUCAAAGAUAAUAAAGCGUUUGCAUGAUGAAAGUGGUAACAAUGUCUAUUCCACCCAUUGUGUCCCUCUGAAGCUUAAAUGAGGAACUACAUGCCACUAGCAGUCGCCCAGCCUUACUUGGCACUUGGGAAAUAUUUCAUUUCUCCCACUCCUCUGGCUCACGGUCUUCUCCCCUUGUUUAUUUGCUCUUUUCUCUUUCCAGCUGGCUGCAUGUGACCACCAGGCUUCCUGACUCCAUCAUUCUGCUUUCCAUACCAAUGUUAUUGUAACCUUGGGAUCUUGGGCAGUGGUGAAAGUUACACACUGUCCCUGCCAUUAUGAAGGGGACAAGCCAGUGCGGGUGGGAGGGGCAGUGGGGAAAUUCGGCCUAGAGAAAGGACAGGCCACCUUCCAGGAACCACACUGGCCUUCAGAGAGCUUUGUUGGCUGUGGUUCACCUGGCCAGCUUGUAGGCGUCAGGGUGCCCUAGGGCUCGGUGCUUAGUUCUCUCUAUUGACACCCUCUGUCUAGGAUGACUCAGUGAGUCCACUGCUGUCUAUCUGUAGCUAAAGAUGCCAGCUUUGUAGCUCUAGUCAAAUUCCUCCUGGGUGCAGACUCGUAUAUUCAAAUGUCAGCCUAACUCUCUGUAUCGACCUCUUUUGUAAAAUGGGCAUUAUAAUGGCACAUUCCUCAUAGGACUAUCAUGCAGAGCAAAACUCUUAAGGAGAAGCUUUUACAAGAGCCCCUGACACCAGUGCAUGUGCUCAGUAAGUGUUAGCUGUUAGUAUUAUUACCUGACAUCUCCACGUGGACGUCUGACAGCUAUGCCAUGUUAUCAAGGCCAUGAAGCAAGUCUUGGUCCCAAACCCAUUCCACCCGUAUCAAUUUCUCAAGGCUACAGUGAUGGGAGUCUGUGUGUUUUUCCACAUAAUGGACAUGGUUAAAAAGGUUGACCAGGUCCUUCAUAAUAAGUUGCUCCAAAGUUCAUAUGGGUGACCAUUGAUACAAGUUACAGUCAACUAAUAUAGAAAAAAAAACAGAACCACUCUCAGCAGCUCAUGCUUGGACUCUCAGUCCAGAAUGUCUGGUGAGGGCACUAUUAUGGACUGAAUUGUAUAACCCCAAAAGGUAUGUUGAAAUCCUAACCACUGUACCUGUAAAUGUGACCUAAUUUAGAAAUAGGGGAUUUUUAAAAUUAUGUUAAUAAGGCCAUACCAGUGUAGGGUGGGUCCUAGACCUAGUCCCUUCUGAGUUAUAAAAACAGCAGAAUAGACACAGACAGGAGCAGAUGCAUCUACAAGGCCAGGAACACAAAGGGUGGCUGGAAGCUGCUAGAAGCUGAAGUAGACAUGAGCCGUGCCCUGAAUUCAGACUUCGAGCCUCUCCUGAACUGUAAGAAAAUAAAUUUCUGUUCUUUAAAGCCACUCAGUUGUGUUAUUUUUUUCUUAUGGCGGCACUAGGUAACUAACACACAUAUCUGUGCUUAUAAAUCCAGCCUAGGGUAAAAUAGUGCUCUCCCCUCCUUGUCUAGCCCACCUGGAUCCUGCUGUUUCCCUAUCAGUGUCCUCUGCUUUCACUAAGCUACAAAAGAGCCGGCUUGAUGCUGAGGCAUAGAAAUUCACUUUAUUUUUUACUUUGUAUUUAUGAUUAACUAGUAUUAAUUCUAAUGUUUUCUAUGGCUUUUAAAAAUUUCCUGUGAAGACAUUCGUAUAAUCUAUGAAUAAUAACAGUUAUACUUUUUCUUGUCAUUUCGUUCUAGCUUCGACCUCCAUUGUUAAAUAUUUCAUAGAAAUAAUAAGAGAAAGCAUCCUUGUUUUAUUGCUAAUUAAUUUUAAAGAGAAUGUCCCACAUUUCGCCAUGAACUAUCAUGCUAGUUGUAGUUUUCCAAGUUUGGGAACUCCUUUUUUUGUUCCUAGUUUGCUCAGAGUUCUUAUGUCUCAGUGUGAUUGGAUUUUAUCACUACUUUUCGCCAUCUCUUUAUGUGAGCCUUAUCUUUUCUUCCUUAACCUACACAUGUGGUGGAUUAAGUUAUUAAAUGUUUAAUGUUCACUCGAUUGCAUGCUGACAAUAAACCCCCUUGAUCGUGGCGUAUUACAUGGUUUACACUUGUCUGGAGUUCUUUGCCAGCAUUUUAUGUAGGGUUUUGCAUCUCAAUUACUUAUACCUUUCUUUUCUAAUUCGGUAUCAAUAUUAAAGUAGCCUUAGGGAUCAAGUUGGAGAGCAUCUCAUAUUUUUCUCUUCUUUGGUGACUAUGUACAAGAUUAAGAUGAUCUGUUUUUUGCAUGUUUGCUGGAACUUGCCUGAAAGUGGUCUCCCAAACCUGAAACCAUUUGGCCAUCGAGUUGAUUCCUUCUUCUUAGGGAGAUCUUGAACUACUGACCCAUUUUGUAUAGUGAUUAAAGGCCAUUUCUGGUGCCAAUUUACUUAGAAAAAUUUUCACUGCAUGUUGUAGACUGCUGGGAUGUCAUCAUUAAAUAUUACGCGGUUAUCACUGUUUUCAGCCUCAUCCAGGCCAAUUAAUCAAUCCCAGAUUUUCCAUUUUCCGGAAGUCACGCUGCGUAUCUACUCCUGGUACCAGUUCCCUUAUCUAAGACUUAUUUGCAAAGAAACAUACAACCAAGCCUCCUUUGAGUCUAUGAUGUGAGAAUACAGUCAGUCCCACAUAAUGUGACACCUUUGUAAUUGUUCUUUUUAAGUGUUUCACAUUUACUUUUUUUUUUUCAUUUCCCACCUAUCUAGCAGUUUUAAAGUUGUGCAUUUCAGGUUGAGGUCAUUAGCUGGAUUGACUCUGCGGGGCGGUGCGGUGCCCAGUUGCAUCUGGGCAUCAAGAAAAGGCGCCUCUAGAACUAGGAGGCCUGAGGCGGAGGGUGGGUGGUUGGGGG